CGCUCUCCCUCCGUGACGUGCCGCGGGUUAAAAUCCCACCCCUGAAAGGAGAGGAGAGGCUGGUGGAGUUCUAUCUCUCACCAGCUGUUGUUGAGUAGCCAAUGCUCCAAAUAACCACCAAAGAGCAAACUGUGAGCCUUUGGCGGCGUAACGUGGGACACCGCAGGGGGUUAAAGUUAAGGCCCGGACAUGAAGAUCUAGAUUACCAAAAGCGGCCUGGAUCAGGGCUGGCGGAUGACACGAACCUGGGGCCUGAUUUUCAGAGCGCUGAAGCUGAAGACACUCAGUGCCACUGAAAACCAAAGCCGGGUGCCUCAAGCUUCCCAUUCACACCGAUGGCCGGGACUCUGCCUGAGAAACUCCUCUGCUUAAACGCUCUGUGUGUCCGGGGCCAGGAGAGCGCUGCUGGGAGCUAGCAAAACCCGAUCCUUCUAUUACUGCACGAUCGGUCCUCGCUAACAACCAGGUGAAUGCAGCCCCACUGAAGUCAGAAUUGAGACCUGUAGGGACAGUUGGGAUCUGGUAGACAGAGCAUGAAGCUGGGGAUCCUAGCAACCUGGCAUUGACUCUGCCGCUGACUCACUGCGUGGGCUUGGUUAAGUCACUUAUCACCAUACCUCAGUUUCCCCAUCUGCAAAAUGGGGAUAGUAAAGCACACGCAGCUUUGCAAAGCAUCAUGGGAUCUAUGGAGGUCAAGCGCUGUCAAAGAGCGAGAUAU